CCGCCUGCCUGUGACAAUGUUUAACGGCCGCGGUAUUUUGACCGUGCGAAGGUAGCGUAAUCACUUGUCUUUUAAAUGAAGACCUGUAUGAAAGGCAUCACGAGAGUUUAACUGUCUCUAUUUUCUAAUCAAUGAAAUUGAUCUUCUCGUGCAGAAGCGAGAAUAUUACCAUUAGACGAGAAGACCCUAUGGAGCUUCAAACACUUAAAUUAAUUAUGUAAAAUUAUAACCCCCCCAGGGGAAAAAUCAUUCAUAUAAUAUUCCUAAUUUAACUGUUUUUGGUUGGGGUGACCGAGGGGGAAAGAAAAUCCCCCUUAUCGACUGAGUACUAAGUACUUAAAAAUUAGAACGACAGUUCUGAUUAAUAAAACAUUUACCGAAAAAUGACCCAGAUUUUUCUGAUCAAUGAACCAAGUUACCCUAGGGAUAACAGCGCAAUCCUUUCCCAGAGUCCCUAUCGCCGAAAGGGUUUACGACCUCGAUGUUGGAUCAGGACAUCCUAAUGGUGCAACCGCUAUUAAGGGUUCGUUUGUUCAACGAUUAAUAGUCCUACGUGAUCUGAUU
rnacentral:rRNA from 1 species